AGCGGCAGACGGGUGAGUAACGCGUGGGAAUCUACCCAUCUCUACGGAACAACUCCGGGAAACUGGAGCUAAUACCGUAUACGUCCUUUUGGAGAAAGAUUUAUCGGAGAUGGAUGAGCCCGCGUUGGAUUAGCUAGUUGGUGGGGUAAUGGCCUACCAAGGCGACGAUCCAUAGCUGGUCUGAGAGGAUGAUCAGCCACACUGGGACUGAGACACGGCCCAGACUCCUACGGGAGGCAGCAGUGGGGAAUAUUGGACAAUGGGCGCAAGCCUGAUCCAGCCAUGCCGCGUGAGUGAUGAAGGCCCUAGGGUUGUAAAGCUCUUUCAACGGUGAAGAUAAUGACGGUAACCGUAGAAGAAGCCCCGGCUAACUUCGUGCCAGCAGCCGCGGUAAUACGAAGGGGGCUAGCGUUGUUCGGAAUUACUGGGCGUAAAGCGCACGUAGGCGGAUACUUAAGUCAGGGGUGAAAUCCCGGGGCUCAACCCCGGAACUGCCUUUGAUACUGGGUAUCUCGAGUCCGGAAGAGGUGAGUGGAAUUCCGAGUGUAGAGGUGAAAUUCGUAGAUAUUCGGAGGAACACCAGUGGCGAAGGCGGCUCACUGGUCCGGUAC
rnacentral:rRNA from 1 species